rnacentral:rRNA from 1 species
CCCGAAAGCUAUUUAGGUAGCGCCUCGUGAAUUCAUCUCCGGGGGUAGAGCACUGUUUCGGCUAGGGGGCCAUCCCGGCUUACCAACCCGAUGCAAACUGCGAAUACCGGAGAAUGUUAUCACGGGAGACACACGGCGGGUGCUAACGUCCGUCGUGAAGAGGGAAACAACCCAGACCGCCAGCUAAGGUCCCAAAGUCAUGGUUAAGUGGGAAACGAUGUGGGAAGGCCCAGACAGCCAGGAUGUUGGCUUAGAAGCAGCCAUCAUUUAAAGAAAGCGUAAUAGCUCACUGGUCGAGUCGGCCUGCGCGGAAGAUGUAACGGGGCUAAACCAUGCACCGAAGCUGCGGCAGCGACGCUUAUGCGUUGUUGGGUAGGGGAGCGUUCUGUAAGCCUGUGAAGGU